GUGUUCAUUUUGGCAGCACAUAUAUUUAAAUAAAUAAAUACAGAGAUUAGAAUGGAUCCUAUGUAAGGAAGAUGUGCAAAUUUGUAAAACAUUCCAUUUUUUG